rnacentral:rRNA from 1 species
UACGGAGGGGGCUAGCGUUGUCCGGAUUUAUUGGGCGUAAAGAGCGUGUAGGCGGCCAGGUAGGUCUGGUGUGAAAACUCGAGGCUUAACCUCGAGAUGUCAUCGGAAACCAUCUGGCUAGAGUCCGGAAGAGGAGAGUGGAAUUCCUGGUGUAGCGGUGAAAUGCGCAGAUAUCAGGAAGAACACCAAUGGCGAAAGCAGCUCUCUGGGACGGUACUGACGCUGAGACGCGAAAGCGUGGGGAGCGAACAGG